GCUUCAUUAUUAGAAUAUGAGGUAGUACCUGCUCAAUGCGAAAGUAAAUAGCCGCAGUAUUCUGACUGUGCGAAGGUAGCAUAAUAAGUUGGCCUUUAAUUGAGGUCUAGAAUGAAUGGUUUGACAAGGGUUUAUCUGUCUCGGUAUAUAAUAAUUUUUGAAAUUUAAUUGUCUGUAAAAAUGCUGACAUAUAAGAGAGGGACGAGAAGACCCUAUAGAUCUUUAAUGUAUUAAGAGUAAUUUUACUUUGUAAUAUUUUUUGUUUGGGGAAAAUCUUGAAAUUUUUAAACUUCGGUUAAAGAGAAAAUUUAAAAAUUGACUUUUGAUCCACUUUUGUGAAAAAAUGAAAAAGUUACCUUAGGGAUAACAGGACAAUGACUUCCUUAAAGAUCUUAUUUUUGGAAGCGUUUGUUACCUCGAUGUUGAAUUAAGCUAUCUCGUUAAAGAAGGAAUUCUUGAAGUUGGUCUGUUCGACCAUUGAAAGC
rnacentral:rRNA from 1 species